rnacentral:ncRNA from 1 species
UCAGCGGCGGACCGGGCACAAGUCCCCUGGAAGGGGGCGCCAGAGAGGGUGAGAGCCCCGUUGCGCUCGGACCCUGUCGCACCACGAGGCGCUGUCAACGAGUCGGGUUGUUUGGGAAUGCAGCCCCAAUCGGGCGGUAAAUUCUGUCC